GUCAAAUGCUUUUUUCAAGGGCUAAUCCAUACAUGUUUCACAGUAGGCGAAUGCCAACAAUAGCGGGUCUGCGAAUGUCUCAUUAAAUUCAGUUAUCACUUGCCUGGCUGCGAUUCGGGACCUUGCGUCACUAUCCGUUCCACAUGGAUAACCGCUCCAAAUGGAUGGCUAAUGUCAGACUAGCGCCUUUUCGGGCUGUCUUCGGGCAGCUGCUGCGGCCAGCUUGGGCAACCUCGCUGUUCUUUGUAAGACGGGCGCACGGUGGACCGAAACGAAGAGCAGCGCCCGUUACAGGGCAGUUUGCAUCGAUGAAUCAGGUCCAUUGUGUCGUUCGGUGAAAGCAGAGUGACCGCAGUGCGUCGCUGCGAUGCCAGAUGGAUUCCUGUCCUAUCAGCUGACGAUUGUAGUGUCUUGGACUACAAUGGCAUUAACGGGUAACGGGGAAUUUGGGUUUGACUCCGGAGAGGGGGCCUGAGAGACGGCCACCACUUCUAAGGAAGGCAGCAGGCGCGUAAAUUUCCCACUACGAACGCAUCCGUGAGGCAGCGACGAAGAAUGGCAGCAGUGCAUGCCUUCGCGGCAAGUGCUGCUCGCAAUGGAUGACAGACAAACUGCUCAGUGAGUAUCAACCGGAGGGCAAGUCUGGUGCCAGCAGCAGCGGUAAUUCCAGCUCCAGCAGUGUAUACAAAUGUUGCUGCUGUUAAAACGAUCGUAGUUGAUCGCAGAGUGGGGGACGUUGUCCAACCUUGGCCUCUCGCUUCAGCGGUGGCCUCUGAAAGCCGCCACCACUUCAAAGAAACGAGAAGCGCGUAAAUUUCCCACUAAGAACGCAUCCGUAAGCAGAGAAAAAAAAGGCAGCAGUGCAUGCCUUCGCGGCAAGUGCUGCUAGCAAUGAAUGACAGACAAACUGCUCAGUGAGUAUCAACCAGAGGGAAAGUCUGGUGCAAGCAGAAGCGGUAAUUCCAGCUCCAGAAGUGUAUACAAAUGUUGCUGCUGUUAAAAAGAUCGUAGUUGAUCGAAGAGUGGGGGACGUUGUCAAACCUUGGCCUCUCGCUUCAGCGGUGGCCUCGGGGCGAUCCGGUUGGCUUCGGCCUCUCGGUGAGCCAGGUCAAUCGCUCUUCCGCUCGCCUGACACGGAAGUGGUUCCUCCUGUUGACACGGUCUUCGGUGAUUGUGCUGGCUGCCUUCGAACCGAAAGCAUUCGUUGGCUCUCAAGACGGGGCGUCCGUGGCUAAUACCAUGAACAAAACAGCGCGUCCAUAGCGGCCGACUUGCUCGGUCGAAUGACAAAGCAUGGGAUGUUAAGAGAUCGACCAGCGUUCUGAUCGUUCUGCCUGCUCUUCUCCAGGCGUUGGGCAAUGCGAGGUUUUGAACCGCAGCUGGGGUCUCUAUCGCAGAGUAUCGUGGCUGUGCGCUUCUUGCCAUCGAACGGAAAGGAUGAGCGUGCUCGGGGCCCUGCGUAUUGAUUGCCUAGAGGUGAAAUUCUUGGAUGCAAUCACGACGAACUGCAGCGAAGGCGUUAUUCGGCAAGGGCACGACUGUCAAUCAAGAACGAGAGUGUGGGGAUCGAAGAUGAUCAGAUACCGUCGUAGUCCAUUUUCCGUAAACGUUGCCGGCUCGGCAUGGGACGCGUUCCUCUCCAACAGGUGGCGUGUUCCGUGCCUCCCUCUAUCAUCGAGAAAUCCGAAGCUUUUGGGUUCAGGGGGGAGUACACUCGCAAGGCUGAAACUUGAAGGAAUUGACGGAAUGACACCACAAGGCGUGGAGUCUGCGGCUUAAUUUGACUCAACACGGGGAAUGUUACCGGGUCAGGACGCAGCGAUGAUGGACAGAUUGAGAGCUCUUUCUUGAUCCUUUGGAUGGUGGUGCAUGGCCGUUCCUGGUUCGUGGGGUGAUCUGUCUGGUUGAUUCCGAUAACGAGCGAGAUCUUUACCUUUCUGUAGCGUGCUUGCUCAAUUGUAGGGUGGUUCUCUCUUCCGGCGGGCCCUAUGGGUCAGUCUUGGUUGAGGGUCGGCCGCCUGAGAGCAAGGUAUCUUCUCAGAGGAUCCGCGAGCGUUUCAAGCUGGCGUAAGCAAGAGGCGACAGCAGGUCUGUGAUGCCCCAAAAUGUCCUGGGCUGCACGCGCACGACAAUGGUACCAACUGCGAGUCAACUGAGUCACUACGGUGGCUCGGUGCCUGUGCCGAAAGGCAUCGGGUAAUCUGUGAACUGGUGCCGUGAUUGGGACAGACGAUUGCAAUUAUUCAUCUUGAACGAGGAAUGCCUAGUAUGCGCGGCUCAUCAGACCGCACAGAUUGCGUCCCUGCCAUUUGUACACACCGCCCGUCGUUCCUACCGAUGAUGAGUGAACAGAGGUUCCAGGAGUUCUUGAAGCGGAGAGUUGAUCAAUGCAGUCUGAGUGAAUUUGCCCGAUGUUGUCGUAUUAGAGGAAGGAAAAGUCGUAACAAGGUUGCUGUAGGUGA
rnacentral:rRNA from 1 species